UCUACAGGCUUAACACAUGCAAGUCGAGGGGCAUCAGGAAGAAAGCUUGCUUUCUUUGCUGGCGACCGGCGCACGGGUGAGUAACACGUAUCCAACCUGCCCUUUACUCGGGGAUAGCCUUUCGAAAGAAAGAUUAAUACCCGAUAGCAUAAUGAUUCCGCAUGGUUUCAUUAUUAAAGGAUUCCGGUAAAGGAUGGGGAUGCGUUCCAUUAGGUUGUUGGUGAGGUAACGGCCCACCAAGCCUUCGAUGGAUAGGGGUUCUGAGAGGAAGGUCCCCCACAUUGGAACUGAGACACGGUCCAAACUCCUACGGGAGGCAGCAGUGAGGAAUAUUGGUCAAUGGGCGCUAGCCUGAACCAGCCAAGUAGCGUGAAGGAUGAAGGCUCUAUGGGUCGUAAACUUCUUUUAUAUAAGAAUAAAGUGCAGUAUGUAUACUGUUUUGUAUGUAUUAUAUGAAUAAGGAUCGGCUAACUCCGUGCCAGCAGCCGCGGUAAUACGGAGGAUCCGAGCGUUAUCCGGAUUUAUUGGGUUUAAAGGGAGCGUAGGUGGACUGGUAAGUCAGUUGUGAAAGUUUGCGGCUCAACCGUAAAAUUGCAGUUGAUACUGUCAGUCUUGAGUACAGUAGAGGUGGGCGGAAUUCGUGGUGUAGCGGUGAAAUGCUUAGAUAUCACGAAGAACUCCGAUUGCGAAGGCAGCUCACUGGACUGCAACUGACACUGAUGCUCGAAAGUGUGGGUAUCAAACAGGAUUAGAUACCCUGGUAGUCCACACAGUAAACGAUGAAUACUCGCUGUUUGCGAUAUACAGUAAGCGGCCAAGCGAAAGCAUUAAGUAUUCCACCUGGGGAGUACGCCGGCAACGGUGAAACUCAAAGGAAUUGACGGGGGCCCGCACAAGCGGAGGAACAUGUGGUUUAAUUCGAUGAUACGCGAGGAACCUUACCCGGGCUUAAAUUGCAGUGGAAUGAUGUGGAAACAUGUCAGUGAGCAAUCACCGCUGUGAAGGUGCUGCAUGGUUGUCGUCAGCUCGUGCCGUGAGGUGUCGGCUUAAGUGCCAUAACGAGCGCAACCCUUAUCUUUAGUUACUAACAGGUUAUGCUGAGGACUCUAGGGAGACUGCCGUCGUAAGAUGUGAGGAAGGUGGGGAUGACGUCAAAUCAGCACGGCCCUUACGUCCGGGGCUACACACGUGUUACAAUGGGGGGUACAGAAGGCAGCUAGCGGGUGACCGUAUGCUAAUCCCAAAAUCCUCUCUCAGUUCGGAUCGAAGUCUGCAACCCGACUUCGUGAAGCUGGAUUCGCUAGUAAUCGCGCAUCAGCCACGGCGCGGUGAAUACGUUCCCGGGCCUUGUACACACCGCCCGUCAAGCCAUGGGAGCCGGGGGUACCUGAAGUACGUAACCGCAAGGAUCGUCCUAGGGUAAAACUGGUGACUGGGGCUA
rnacentral:rRNA from 1 species